rnacentral:rRNA from 1 species
UCAAUAAGCGGAGGAAAAGAAACCAACAGGGAUUGCCCCAGUAACGGCGAGUGAAGCGGCAACAGCUCAAAUUUGAAAUCUGGCCCCCAGGGUCCGAGUUGUAAUUUGCAGAGGAUGCUUUUGGCAAGGUGCCUUCCGAGUUCCCUGGAACGGGACGCCAUAGAGGGUGAGAGCCCCGUCUGGUUGGAUACCGAGCCUCUGUAAAGCUCCUUCGACGAGUCGAGUAGUUUGGGAAUGCUGCUCUAAAUGGGAGGUAUAUGUCUUCUAAAGCUAAAUAUUGGCCAGAGACCGAUAGCGCACAAGUAGAGUGAUCGAAAGAUGAAAAGCACUUUGAAAAGAGGGUUAAAUAGUACGUGAAAUUGUUGAAAGGGAAGCGCUCAUGACCAGACUUGGGCCCGGUGAAUCAUCCAGCGCUCGUCGCUGGUGCACUUUGCCGGGCUCAGGCCAGCAUCAGUUCGCUCCGGGGGACAAAGGCUCUGGGAAUGUGGCUCCUCCGGGAGUGUUAUAGCCCACUGCGCAAUACCCUGGGGCGGACUGAGGUUCGCGCAUUCGUGCAAGGAUGCUGGCGUAAUGGUCAUCAGUGACCCGUCUUGAAACACGGACCAAGGAGUCGUCUUCGUAUGCAAGUGUUCGGGUGUAAAACCCCUACGCGUAAUGAAAGUGAACGCAGGUGAGAGCUUCGGCGCAUCAUCGACCGAUCCUGAUGUUCUCGGAUGGAUUUGAGUAAGAGCAUACGGGGCCGGACCCGAAAGAAGGUGAACUAUGCCUGUAUAGGGUGAAGCCAGAGGAAACUCUGGUGGAGGCUCGCAGCGGUUCUGACGUGCAAAUCGAUCGUCAAAUAUGGGCAUGGGGGCGAAAGACUAAUCGAACCUUCUAGUAGCUGGUUUCCGC